GUGAGCCACACCAGAGAAACAGCACAGCAGCAGGCCCCAUUUCCUGAAGAUGAUGAUGAUGUCACAUACAGCACUGUCAUCCCCCAGCACAAGGCCCAACUAAAAGUACAGGCCAAGGCAGCAGAACCAGAUGAUAAUGUGGUCUACAGCUCACUAG